UGGCUCAGAACAAACGCUGGCGGCGUGCAUGAACACAUGCAAGUCUAACGGGAAAGUCGGCUUCGGCUGGCUAGUACCGUGGCGAACGGGGUGAGUAACACGUGGGUAAUCUAACCUUGAGCUCGGGAUAACCUUGCGAAAGCGAGGCUAAUACCGGAUAAGACCACGCUCAGCUCGCUGAGUGCGGUAAAAGGUGGCCUCUUCCUGAAAGCUAUCACUUGAGGAUGAGCCCGCGGCCUAUUAGCUAGUUGGUAGGGUAACGGCCUACCAAGGCGACGAUGGGUAGCCGGCCUGAGAGGGUGUACGGCCACACUGGCACUGAGAUACGGGCCAGACUCCUACGGGAGGCAGCAGUGGGAAUUUUGCGCAAUGGGGGAAACCCUGACGCAGCAACGCCGCGUGAGUGAUGAAGGCCUUCGGGUCGUAAAGCUCUUUUAGUGGGGAAGAAUCCCUUCCGGGCUAAUAUCCUGGGAGGAUGACGGUACCCACAGAAAAAGUUCCGGCUAACUACGUGCCAGCAGCCGCGGUAA
rnacentral:rRNA from 1 species